UGAGGUUGCGGCGAGGAGUCACAGCUCCCUCUUCCGACUAAUGUUGAAGAAGUCAGCUGGCAGAAUCGAACCUAUAACUCUAUCGCCACCACUGAGCAA